AACGAACGCUGGCGGCAGGCUUAACACAUGCAAGUCGAGCGCCCCGCAAGGGGAGCGGCAGACGGGUGAGUAACGCGUGGGAACGUACCCUUUGCUACGGAAUAGCUCCGGGAAACUGGAAUUAAUACCGUAUGUGCCCUACGGGGGAAAGAUUUAUCGGCAAAGGAUCGGCCCGCGUUGGAUUAGCUAGUUGGUGGGGUAAUGGCCUACCAAGGCGAAGAUCCAUAGCUGGUCUGAGAGGAUGAUCAGCCACAUUGGGACUGAGACACGGCCCAAACUCCUACGGGAGGCAGCAGGGGGGAAUAUUGGACAGUGGGCGCAAGCCUGAUCCAGCCAUGCCGCGUGAGUGAUGAAGGCCUUAGGGUUGUAAAGCUCUUUCACCGGAGAAGAUAAUGACGGUAUCCGGAGAAGAAGCCCCGGCUAACUUCGUGCCAGCCGCCGCCGUAACAC
rnacentral:rRNA from 1 species